GAUGAACGCUGGCGGCGUGCCUAAUACAUGCAAGUCGAGCGAACAGACGAGGAGCUUGCUCCUCUGACGUUAGCGGCGGACGGGUGAGUAACACGUGGAUAACCUACCUAUAAGACUGGGAUAACUUCGGGAAACCGGAGCUAAUACCGGAUAAUAUAUUGAACCGCAGGGUUCAAUAGUGAAAGACGGCUUUGCUGUCACUGAUAGAUCGAUCCGCGCCGCAUUAGCUAGUUGGUAAGGUAACGGCUUACCAAGGCAACGAUGCGUAGCCGACCUGAGAGGGUGAUCGGCCACACUGGAACUGAGACACGGUCCAGACUCCUACGGGAGGCAGCAGUAGGGAAUCUUCCGCAAUGGGCGAAAGCCUGACGGAGCAACGCCGCGUGAGUGAUGAAGGUCUUCGGAUCGUAAAACUCUGUUAUUAGGGAAGAACAAAAGUGUAAGUAACUAUGCACGACUUGACGGUAACUAAUCAGAAAGCCACGGCUAACUACGUG
rnacentral:rRNA from 1 species